rnacentral:rRNA from 1 species
GAAACCCAGUGUGUUUCGACACACUAUCAUGUCAUGAAUACAUAGUGGCAUGAGGCGAACCGGGGGAACUGAAACAUCUAAGUACCCCGAGGAAAAGAAAUCAACCGAGAUUCCCCCAGUAGCGGCGAGCGAACGGGGAGGAGCCCAGAACCUGAAUCGGCUUGUGUGUUAGUGGAAGCGUCUGGAAAGUCGCGCAGCAAAGGGUGAUAGCCCCGUACACUAAAAUGCACAGGUCGUGAGUUCGAUGAGUAGGGCGGGACACGUGACAUCCUGUCUGAAUAUGGGGGGACCAUCCUCCAAGGCUAAAUACUCCUGACUGACCGAUAGUGAACCAGUACCGUGAGGGAAAGGCGAAAAGAACCCCGGCGAGGGGAGUGAAAUAGAACCUGAAACCGUGUACGUACAAGCAGUGGGAGCACCUUCGUGGUGUGACUGCGUACCUUUUGUAUAAUGGGUCAGCGACUUAUAUUUUGUAGCAAGGUUAACCGUAUAGGGGAGCCGUAGGGA